CCUAUGAACACCUGAGCUGACACAAAAGCUGAGUAGUUUAAUGCAUUGGCAUAUAUAUGCCUUAAGGACUGUACUUUUCUCUACCAAAUCUUUGUAAAUCAUAAACAAGCAUGUAAUGAUUAUGAAACAAAUACUUAUUUAGGCAUUCAAAUGUAAUCUAUUUACAAAAUAUAUUAUUUUCACUUAUUAGAUGAAUUCAACUUGACAUUUUUCAUUGCUGAGAAUUCAGUUCACAUUUAAUCAAACUACAUUUCGAAAUUUACAGAUGACUAAAUGACUAGCACCAGUCUAUUUGGGAACUAAGGAAUCAAAAGAAGAGGAGAAAGAGGAACUUCUUUGGAUCCUGCUUAAAUGAUCACCAAGAAACUGCAAAUUUCUAUGGGGGAAAAUGUGAGUCCUCUUCAUAAAUUUUAGCAGCCCUUCAAGGACAUAUACUUCAAAAUUUGGUGGCCUUUAAAGUAUUGGAAUUUUAAAUGACAUAACUGCACUUUACUGUUGAAGACCCUUUUAGUUUAAUAUUUAUAGCCAUUUCCUCAUAUUUUCUUUAAAAUCUAUCAGUAUAGCAUUUCAUUUCUAUGCAUGUAUAUGUAUAGUAAUUCAUAAAACUAAAUAGCAAACUGAUAUUCUACACCAGUUCAUUUAUCUCAAUAUAUAUUUUGGAAUAUAACGGCAAUAUUAAAAAUA
rnacentral:lncRNA from 1 species